rnacentral:misc_RNA from 1 species
CAAAGUUCUUAUUUCCUCUGAUGCCAAGCAGAGUAGAACCCAAAUCAAGAUGGAGGGAGAAAGGAGAAGAAGAAUAAGAAGAAAUCAGAGUGAAAAAUUGUGGGGUAAGUUUCACAAAUGAAGCAAUUGAACAAAACCAACCCAUUUGGUUGCAGAGAAAACGAAAAAAAGAAAAUUUUCGAUGACGGUUUUCUCCUCUUUUCCUCAAUUUAG